rnacentral:rRNA from 1 species
GUAUGAAUGGCUGCAUGAGGACCAAACUGUCUCCUUUGGCCAAUCAAUGAACCUGCUCUUCUAGUACAAAAGCUAGAAUAAACCCAUAAGACGAGAAGACCCUGUGGAGCUUAAAAUAUUAGCACUAAUCCACACCACCCCAUCAGGCCCACUCCACCAAAAUAGUGCACAUUUUUAGUUGGGGCGACUACGGAACCAAACCAAACUUCCACGACAAGACACCCCCCCAGGUCAACAAACCAAUACAACACUUGACCCAGUAACACUGACCAACGAACCAAGUUACCCCAGGGAUAACAGCGCCAUCCUCUUCAAGAGCCCAUAUCGCCAAGAGGGUUUACGACCUCGAUGUUGGAUCAGGACCCCCAGGUGGUGCAACCGCUACCAAUGGUUCGUUUG